rnacentral:rRNA from 1 species
AUUGAACGCUGGCGGCAUGCCUUACACAUGCAAGUCGAACGCGAAAGGGGGGCAACCCCCGAGUAGAGUGGCGGACGGGUGAGUAAUACAUCGGAACGUACCCAGUAGUGGGGGACAACCUCGAGAAAUCGAGGCUAAUACCGCAUACGACCCACGGGUGAAAGCGGGGGACCGCAAGGCCUCGCGCUAUUGGAGCGGCCGAUGUCCGAUUAGCUAGUUGGUGGGGUAUGAGCCCACCAAGGCGACGAUCGGUAGCUGGUCUGAGAGGACGACCAGCCACACUGGGACUGAGACACGGCCCAGACUCCUACGGGAGGCAGCAGUGGGGAAUUUUGGACAAUGGGGGCAACCCUGAUCCAGCCAUGCCGCGUGCGGGAAGAAGGCCUUCGGGUUGUAAACCGCUUUCGGCCGGAACGAAAUCGCCGGGGAGAACAUCCCCGGUGGAUGACGGUACCGGAAGAAGAAGCACCGGCUAACUACGUGCCAGCAGCCGCCGUAACAC